AGACGAUCCACGGAUUGAUGUUGUGUACCUGCCUUUGCCAACUAGCCUUCAUGUGCAGUGGGCAGUCUUGGCUGCUCAGAAGAGGAAGCAUUUGCUGAUGGAGAAACCGACGGCUCUUGAUGUGGAGGAGCUUGAUCAGAUAUUGGAUGCCUGUGAAUCCAACGGUUUGCAGUUCAUGGAUGGGACUAUGUGGUAUCAUCACCCAAGAACUGCUAAAAUGAAGGAAUUGGCAUCUGAUCCUCUGCUUUUUGGACAACUCAAAUGGGGACAUGUGGGGCUACGUAUCUUUAGGUUACUUCAAGCAGAUAACUAAGGCUGGUGAGAUUGGGUCCUCGACUAUGCCUCAUAAAGUAAAUCCCAUUGAUUUUGAACAUAGUGAGGGCAAUCUUGGGAAGGCUAAUGGAGGUCUAUCCCAUUUAAGCAUAAAAUUACCUAUUUCUCGUUGGCAGAUCUGUAUUUGACCGUGCUUUUGCUUGUCAUAUGCUGUCCGGUGGGCCAAAAAACAGGGGUUCAUUCAUUUCUUCCCAUAAUCAGUUCAAUGCUUUGAAAUGUAUUACUUACAUUGGAUGUCAGUGCUUCCCUUUCCAAAAAGUACCCCCAGUUGUACAAGGAGGGAAUAAGAAAUACCUUCUUCAAAUGGAGAGUUGUGGUGACCUUGGCUUUGUUUUCAUUUACCAAUCAUUAGUCAUAUACAAUUUUGUGAUCACUUCCAGUUCUAACAGUGUUGAUUCGAAUGGCAAGAUGUUUGGCCUUUGGGAUGUCAGCAAAAUUGUAAACCAUGUUUGUAAUAACUGUUAAUUUGCGGCUUCUUCUGAUGUGCAACACGAUUAUAAGGUGGCAUCAAAUAACUGUUGGAGGAAGCAUUGUAACAUGGUUUAUAUUAUGUGGAUAAAAUGGAAUUAAACAAUUUGGGUUAA